rnacentral:lncRNA from 1 species
CGAUGAAAGACGAUUGUUUUCUGGCACAUCGUGCUAGACUAUCCGCCUUUUGAUUUUCCGUCCGGAGUACAUGAAUGAUCUCUGAGCUAGUAAAACGUGUCUUCAGUAGCUUUAUGUCCUGCAGGUAACUCUCAAACGCUGGCCAUUCCUCUGGUUCCGAAACCAUCUUCACCAAUUGAGAACAAUCCGUAGCAAAAGUAACCUGAAACUGAUGUAAAUUCCUCAUACAUUCCAUUGCCCAUAUCAGCGCUUCUAUCUCUGCAUGAAGGGGUGAAAGACCUGUCCUAGUAUUCCUUGCACCCAUCAAUCCCUGAAAACCCUCAAGUAUGCUAUACCAUCCCUGACCUGAAUAAGGUUCUUUAUCUUUCCAGGAACCAUCGAUGAAGCACCAACGACCGACCCUCGGCUGACAAUUCAAAACCUCCGUCUGCUGCGGAGCCUGUUUAGUUUUCAACUCCUGAGCCUCAGCCCAAAGUAUUGAUUCAGUUUCU